UACGAAGGGGGCUAGCGUUGCUCGGAAUCACUGGGCGUAAAGGGUGCGUAGGCGGGUUUUUAAGUCAGGGGUGAAAUCCUGGAGCUCAACUCCAGAACUGCCUUUGAUACUGAAGAUCUUGAGUCCGGGAGAGGUGAGUGGAACUGCGAGUGUAGAGGUGAAAUUCGUAGAUAUUAGGAAGAACACCAGUGGCGAAGGCGGCUCACUGGUCCGGUACUGACGCUGAGGUGCGAAAGCGUGGGGAGCAAACAGG
rnacentral:rRNA from 1 species